ACAUUUUCUCCUACUCUGCUUUUCAUCUCUUUCCCGAACAUGGGUUAGCGAGCGCAAUUCGCCGCGUGUGUGCGGUAUCCAAAAGAUUCCCAACCCAUUAAACCUGUUAACUCGCCGGUUCAGACUCAAAUUUUAGGAUAUUUUACUCUUCUUGUAGUCACCGAUUCACCCGAGUUUACUAAAUAUGCGACGACCCGAAAUGUUGGCAACCGAAUCUUCUCGUCC
rnacentral:misc_RNA from 1 species